rnacentral:rRNA from 1 species
CCUACGGGUGGCAGCAGUCGAGAAUCAUUCACAAUGGGGGAAACCCUGAUGGUGCGACGCCGCGUGGGGGAAUGAAGGUCUUCGGAUUGUAAACCCCUGUCAUGUGGGAGCAAAUUAAAAAGAUAGUACCACAAGAGGAAGAGACGGCUAACUCUGUGCCAGCAGCCGCGGUAAUACAGAGGUCUCAAGCGUUGUUCGGAAUCACUGGGCGUAAAGCGUGCGUAGGCUGUUGCGUAAGUCGUGUGUGAAAGGCGCGGGCUCAACCCGCGGACGGCACAUGAUACUGCGAGACUAGAGUAAGGGAGGGGGAACCGGAAUUCUCGGUGUAGCAGUGAAAUGCGUAGAUAUCGAGAGGAACACUCGUGGCGAAGGCGGGUUCCUGGACAUUAACUGACGCUGAGGCACGAAGGCCAGGGGAGCGAAAGGGAUUAGAUACCCGAGUAGUC